rnacentral:lncRNA from 1 species
UUCCCCCAGUGAGCAGUAUUGAGGCAGCCUGAGGCAACCGGUCCCUGGCGGGCGAGACCGGUUCCCGAACGCGUUCUCGCAGUGAGAGACCGGUUCCGCGCAGAGAGAGACCGGUUCCCGAACGCUGGUUUUUCGGGUUCGCAGCGAGAGACCGGUCCCAGCUGGGGAGAGACCGGUCCCUCUGGGCGAAAACUGCCCAGUUCGGGCUGAUGUAAUAUUGGGUUUUUGAGGGGCCUGGUUGGAUUUUGUUACUCUAGAUGGGCUUAUUAGCCAUUUCACUCCCUUCCCUCCUCAUUUCUCACCACCCUAUACCUUCUAGAGAGAGAAGAAGAAGAAGGAGAAGAAGAAGAAGGAGGAGAAGAAGAAGAGGAGCUAGUUUGAGGGAGCUUGGAGCUCAACCCCUUUCUCUCUUUCCCACCUUGGC